CUUACAGUGUUUGGUGCUAUUUUGCCAUUUUCACUGGGUCAAUCUAGGCCAACAGUGAGCAUAAAGAAGCAAUUUUUACCUGUAUACUUGGGGGACACCAUAGUACUCACCUGCUCAGAAGGAGGCGACGUCAAAUGGUAUUUCAAUGAUACUGUAAUCCCAGAUCAAACGCAACAAAACUAUAUCGUCAUCAUAAAGUCUAUUAGUGCACAAGGCCGAUAUGUGUGUGAGAGGAAUGGAAUUAAGAGUGAAGCAUUUCAACUCGAAAUUGAAGACGCCUUUCCUCCAGAGAUUCUAG